UACGUAGGGUGCGAGCGUUUAAUCGGAAUUACUGGGCGUAAAGCGUGCGCAGGCGGUUUUGUAAGCCAGAUGUGAAAUCCCCGGGCUUAACCUGGGAAUGGCAUUUGGGACUGCAAGGCUCGAGUGCGGCAGAGGAGACUGGAAUUCCUGGUGUAGCAGUGAAAUGCGUAGAUAUCAGGAGGAACACCGAUGGCGAAGGCAGGUCACUGGGCCGCAACUGACGCUGAGGAGCGAAAGCAUGGGGAGCGAACAGG
rnacentral:rRNA from 1 species